rnacentral:rRNA from 1 species
GACGAACGCUGGCGGCGUGCUUAACACAUGCAAGUCGAACGGUAAGGCCCUUCGGGGUACACGAGUGGCGAACGGGUGCGUAAGACGUGGGUGCUCUGCCCUGCACUUCGGGAUAAGCCUGGGAAACUGGGUCUAAUACCGGAUAGGACUCCUGGCUUCAUGGUUGGGGGGGGAAAGCCUGUGCGGUGUGGGAUGGGCCCGCGGCCUAUCAGCUUGUUGGUGGGGUAAUGGCCUCCCAAGGCGACGACGGGUAGCCGGUCUGAGAGGGUGCCCGGUCACACUGGGACUGAGAUACGGCCCAGACUCCUACGGGAGGCAGCAGUGGGGAAUAUUGCACAAUGGGCGCAAGCCUGAUGCAGCGACGCCGCGUGAGGGAUGACGGCCUUCGGGUUGUAAACCUCUUUCAGCUAUGACGAAGCGCAAGUGACGGUAGUAGCAGAAGAAGGACCGGCCAACUACGUGCCAGCAGCCGCAGUAA